GUAGAGUAAAUAUUGCGCGUAAAGUGUCUCAAGGAUGGGAAGUUGCCUGGGAACGAAGGAAGCGGAAGCUUCCACGAUGCAAUGUUGCGUCCGCUA
rnacentral:ncRNA from 1 species